AGCAGGCUUAGUUAGGAGGCCUAAAUUAUCAUGGAUUUCAGUUCUUUACUAGAGCUGUUAUUUGAAGGUCUGUUUGGUUGGAUUGGUCUGCUCUUUCUUUCGUCAACCUUUCCUACAAACACCCUUAUACAUCU
rnacentral:snoRNA from 1 species